AUAGGGCAAGUUGGAGCUAUCACCAUAUUGGUUAACACCUAUCCAACCCUCUAAGAUCAACAUGUGCCUUGGGAGUAAGGUGUGAUUUUGGGAUUCAGGAGAUGUAUGAAAAGUCAACAGGUCUUAUCGUAGGGGUAGGGAAUUGGGACUGGUUGUCAACGGGUCUUAUCGUAGGGGUAGGGAAUUGGGACUGGUUGUCAACAGGUCUUAUCGUAGGGGUAGGGAAUUGGGACAGGUUGUCAACGGGUCUUAUCGUAGGGGUAGGGAAUUGGGACUGGUUGUCAACAGGUCUUAUCGUAGGGAAUUGGGACUGGUUGUCAACAGGUCUUAUCGUAGGGAAUUGGGACUGGUUGUCAACAGGUCUUAUCGUAGGGAAUUGGGACUGGUUGUCAACAGGUCUUAUCGUAGGGAAUUGGGACUGGUUGUCAACAGGUCUUAUCGUAGGGAAUUGGGACUGGUUGUCAACAGGUCUUAUCGUAGGGAAUUGGGACUGGUUGUCAACAGGUCUUAUCGUAGGGAAUUGGGACUGGUUGUCAACAGGUCUUAUCGUAGGGAAUUGGGACUGGUUGUCAACAGGUCUUAUCGUAGGGAAUUGGGACUGGUUGUCAACAGGUCUUAUCGUAGGGAAUUGGGACUGGUUGUCAACAGGUCUUAUCGUAGGGAAUUGGGACUGGUUGUCAACAGGUCUUAUCGUAGGGAAUUGGGACUGGUUGUCAACAGGUCUUAUCGUAGGGAAUUGGGACUGGUUGUCAACAGGUCUUAUCGUAGGGAAUUGGGACUGGUUGUCAACAGGUCUUAUCGUAGG